rnacentral:lncRNA from 1 species
AGGGCUACCAUGGAAACGUGCCUCCGCAUCUAUGCAGUGCUAUAACAGACGACCGGCGUUCAGAUGUACAAAGUUUUACAGCAGAAUUCGGAGCAUAAAUGGGUUACCAUGGAAACUGAAAUCUAGAUCUAGACAAUGGUAUAGACGGACGACCGGCAUGGUGAUGUACAAUGUAAUAAAGCAGAUUUUGGAGCACAGAUGACUAUUUUCCGAAAUAUCGGCUGAUGUUGACUACAAGCAUGUGUGAAGAUAUCAUGUUGUAGAUAUCACAAUGGUUUAGUGGACAGUGCAGUAAUGGGGUUGAUGUUGACUAUACAAACACGUGAAAGGAUGUCAUUGCAGAUUUCACAAUGGUUUAGUGGGCGGUGCAGCUUGGGUCUUUUUUCUCGGGCGCAAUGAGGUCGAGGAACUCGAACUAUUCAAUGAGAAUCCCAAGUUAUCAGACGACGAACCCGAACUAUCCGACUAGAAGCAGUUUCCUGGACCA